rnacentral:rRNA from 1 species
UACGUAGGGGGCAAGCGUUGUCCGGAAUGAUUGGGCGUAAAGGGCGCGUAGGCGGCCUUUUAAGUCUGAAGUGAAAGUCCUGCUUUUAAGGUGGGAACUGCUUUGGAUACUGGAAGGCUUGAGUGCAGGAGAGGUAAGCGGAAUUCCCGGUGUAGCGGUGAAAUGCGUAGAGAUCGGGAGGAACACCAGUGGCGAAGGCGGCUUACUGGACUGUUACUGACGCUGAGGCGCGAAAGUGUGGGGAGCAAACAGG